AAAUGUUAUUCCUAGUGCAGGCAGUUAUCAAACAAAGAAAGAAUUGACACUUUAACAAAAAAAAGUUCACAUCAAAAUAAACAUAAAGGGUUGAAACCAAACAGAAGAAUCUUACUUGAAUUUAGACACCAGUACUCUGCACUACAGAAAAUCACACAGGAAGAUUCAUGCUGGUCUCACAAUAUAUAGACACAACAACCACACAUUUCUAUGCCUCAAAGACACAGAAUCUCCUCAAAACAUAUACAUUCACUAAAAUAUAUUUGGACCAAGACAGCAUCCAGACGAUUACCCCAAUACAUAAAUACUGAAGCAUAGCAAAGAAUCCUGUAUUCAAACUGCAUAGAUAUGUUUCACCACUGGAAGGUUUGUUGGUAGAUGUGUUGCAAAUUAUGCAGACUCUCAUGUCAUUCAGACUUUAGGCAAGAAUCUGUAGUUACUCUAAGUCAUAAAGACAAAACAAGCACAGAUGGUGAGGGUGAGAGAGAUCAGUGGCCAAUCAUUAAUGCAGAGAUCAAGGGCAUGAGGUUGGUCUCUGGAACCUACACAGUGAAAGGAAAGAAUGGACUCCCAUAAAUUGUCCUCUGAUCUCCACAUAUAUACUGUGACAUGUUUGUGCCCCCUUCCACUAAAGUAAAUAAAUGGUUUGAAGAAAUACUCAAGCAGGAGCACUCAAACAUCGAUGCAACAUCAUGGUAUGCUCUCCAAACAAGUUCUUAACUUCACCAAAGCCUAUGUUUUAAGGCACAGAUGGUGAGCAACAUACACAAGCCACAUAACAAAUAAUCCAUGAAACCUAGAAUUGCCUCAUAAUAUCCAGACUUUCAUGGUGUCAUUUUGAUUUAUCCAACAACACUGCUUUAUAUACAGAAAUGAAUCAAUAUGUUGAAGCAUUUAUAAGAUACAUGUUGCAACAUGGGGUGUGCUCCACAACGUAGACUUUAUAUGAGGAUAACACUUGGCCCAAGAAACAGAGAGACUUUGGAUACUUGGCAUUGAAAUAUAAGACAAAGAUCACCCUGACAAUGUCAGACUUUCUGUAUAACUUCCACAAUGGCCUUUAAUAACACACAUGUCUUUAAAACCACUUACCAUGGCCUAAGAAUAUACAGAUAUACCCAUAUGUCAUAACACAUGGAUACUCUUAGACUAUAUAUCCACUCUAUAUCACAUGGACUUUCCCUGCAAAAUACACUCAUAAACAGCAAGCCAUGGGUCUAUCACACCAAAUAAAAAGUCAACCCCUACAUGCUCUUAUCAUAUGCUUCCCAAAGUUUUACUGAACACCUGUACUCAGAAAACAUAAAUGUAACCCAUUAUGAACAGAGUAUAACAGGUGGAUUUUCCUUCUUUUACAUACUAAUUCAUAAGUAACACUUAUUCUGUAACACCAGACAUACAUUCAUAGGCAAUAUUCAAAUAAUUGAGAACCUUGCAAUGCUACAGAACUCUCCCUACAACAUGAAGAAAUGUGACACACCACUCCAAUUUGCACACAAUCUGGUGUAUGCAGUUUCUAAAUGUUCUGUGUAUGUCUUAUGAUACAGUCUCAAAAUACAGAUUCCUUAGAAUCAUAUAGCAUAGCAUAGCAUAGCAUCUUAGAAACUCUUCUCAAAACAUUCACUAUAACAGGCAGACACACAGCCUGUAUUCCUGUCUUCAAACAUACAGAUUUGCCUUCCCCUACCUACCUUUUGGCCAUCAGUUCUAAGAUAUUUUACACAAAACCCACUUGCUAGAUGGGCAUUGUGUAUACAAAGGCUCUAAGUUCCUUCACCAGCACCUCAAACCAAGCCAUAGCAAUAGCAAACUCCAAACAGGAUCAAAGGAAGUAAAAACAAAACAAAUAACCCCC
rnacentral:lncRNA from 1 species